AGCGAACGCUGGCGGCAGGCCUAACACAUGCAAGUCGAACGGAUCCUUCGGGAUUAGUGGCGGACGGGUGAGUAACACGUGGGAACGUGCCCUUUGGUUCGGAACAACUCAGGGAAACUUGAGCUAAUACCGGAUGUGCCCUUCGGGGGAAAGAUUUAUCGCCAUUGGAGCGGCCCGCGUCCGAUUAGCUAGUUGGUGAGGUAACGGCCCACCAAGGCGACGAUCAGUAGCUGGUCUGAGAGGAUGGUCAGCCACACUGGGACUGAGACACGGCCCAGAAUCCUACGGGAGGCAGCAGUGGGGAAUCUUGCGCAAUGGGCGAAAGGCUGACGCAGCCAUGCCGCGUGAAUGAUGAAGGUCUUAGGAUUGUAAAAUUCUUUCAGCGGGGACGAUAAUGACGGUACCCGCAGAAGAAGCUCCGGCUAACUUCGUG
rnacentral:rRNA from 1 species